CAACCCUCAGGCCCCUCCGGGCGGCCUGGUGUUGGGGACCGGCGGACGGGGGAAGGGAUCACUCCCUCCCCCCAAGGCCCGCCGCCCCCGAAAUGAAUUGGCGGUCUCGUCGCGGCCUCCUCUGCGUAGUAGCACAACCUCGCAACAGGAGCGCGGCGCGGCCACUGCCGUAAAACGCACCAACUUUUUCAAG
rnacentral:misc_RNA from 1 species